rnacentral:lncRNA from 1 species
UUACAAUCACAUCUAUAUUUAUUUUGAAAUUACUGCAGUAGUUGUCAAUUAAAUAAGUUCAUAAAUAGUUACUGAGCAUCUAUUAUCCAUCAAACACUGUUACAGGUACUGGGGAUACAGCAGUGAAUAAGACACAGCCCUUGUCCUCCAGUAACUUCCAUGCUAAUGUGGACAACGAUCCCACAGAUAUUCAAGCAGCACAGUGAAAAACUUACCUACAAAAUGGUGCCAAACCCGCAUUGAUUAGAAUCCCAAACUCCAUUUCUGGGUCUUAAAACUUAGCUGUUAUAGUAAGCUUUGGGAGAGUUCAAGAAUGGUUACCCAGAUUUUUAAACGCUAGGAUUCUAAGAAGCAAUGUUGUGAAAGCAAGGUAUACCUAUAUCUUUUUCUUCUGGGAAAAAAAUGGGGAAUAAAUCAGACUGUGUCUUUGUGUGUAGCGGAUGGAUCUGAGCUUUCUCUAUUUCUACGUAAAUGUCCUGAAAGUAGUUGUCUGGGAGUGAAAGUUGUUCAAUGUCAGUGGGUCAGCAGCAGCUCCCAAAAUACUGAAGCUCUUCUGUUUGGAGCAACUUAGCUGAGUCCUGCCCAUUGCACGGGAUAGACGGAUUGACCUCCCCAGGUGUUCUGCCUGCCACAGCCCUUGGGCCGGCGCCACCCCCGCCCAGCGAGAGCCGUAAGAGAGGGCGAGCGGAGGGCCCUCCCGCGGGAGGGGCGCCGGGCGUGAGGCGUGGAGGGCGUGGGCCGGGGGCGGGGCAAGCCCCGCAGCCUGGGCGAUCCGAGGGAGCUGUCAGUGUCAGGCUCGCGGAGAGAGAGGAAGUGCUGGGUCCCCGAGGAGCGCGAGCCAAGCGGCCGGCGCAGCGUGAGACAGCACAUCCUGCGCGCGCCGGGCCCGCCGCCCUCGGGAGCGGCUCGAGCCUCGACCCCGCAGCACCCCCCGGGAGCAGCCGCCGAGCUCGCUCCAGGAGCCCAGUUCCGCCGCCGCCGAGCGCGUCCAGGAAGCCUGGGACCAGAGUGUGAGGGUGAAGCUUGCAUUGUAUCAUAGACACCACUGUCCGUCCAGGUGCAAACCCUGAGGCGCCCACGUGUUCACAAAGGCAUGUCCUGAUUCUUUGUUCAGAGGAGGCCUCUUAAAUAGGAAUUGUAGGCAUUGUGGAGGGCAGGCACAUGAUGGUGUUCAGGUGGUCAUUGAGCCUGAUAACCUUGAUGUGAAACUUCAUGCAUAUGUACAUAAAUGCAGCUUUCUGGAGGGAAGAAGGGUAUUUGUGACUAAAAAGAGAUUAAGAACCGCUGGUUCACAGUGCACUGUUUAGGAAAAGGGGGGGGAGCUCAGGUCACCCUGCUGAAAUAUGUUGAAAACAGGGCAAAACUAUCCUGUGAGCACCAGCCAAGAAAAACUGUUCACAGUUUCAGAGCAUUGUUGACAUUUCACUACUGAGGCACACUGGGGGUGCCCCGAUGCAGGUGUAACUUAGGCUAAUGCAUGCUGCAACCAAGUAAGAUCUCCAAGCGUGGCAGGCAUCCUUAGCUCUGCUUGCCAUUCAUUGGGUACUUAGCCUGUUUAUACAGUCAGGUUCAUCAAAUCAUUCUAAGAUUCCUGUAAUGUUGACAUUUUUAUCUUCAUUUGACAAACAAGGAAUCUGGUGCUUGGAAACAUGAAGCCCCUUGGUCAAGGCCACAUGAAGCCAGUUUAGUGGGAAGGCUGGAUUUCAAAUGCAGGUUGGCAAGAUUCCAAAGUUCGUUUAUUCUGUUCCCAUCAUAUCUCAUUGUUUUUCUGUGUGGGAUGCCAAAAAGUAUCCUUUAGUGUAGCUUUUCAUUGUGGCGGAACGGAGAGUCCCUCAGGAACAUGCUCACAUGCUGAUGCGAAAAGCCUAACUGUAUUAUCAAAGGGAAACAAGAAAAAUUAGACCUCUCUCAGCAUGGUGGAGGAUAGGCAAGCCCUGCUUUCCCUUGAGGUUUGGUAAAGCCCCCUACAUUUGAUUCUCAAGGGUCACUAGAUAUCUUGCUGAACACUAAAUGCAUAGCAGUUCACAACUAAGAGGGCCCAGAAAGUUGACUUUACUGGAGUAGGCAUUAGCCAAGGCUUCGUUCAUUGCAAAGAUGAAUUUGUCUCAGAGCUGAAUUCGAAGCUGCUCAGCGUUCUGGGGCUUCCCUGAUACAGUGACUGUGCCAUGAUCCGGAACACUAACUUGGUACUAAAUCCUCGGAGGACCUCUGCUUACCAGACAGCCUAUGUGUCCUUUCAUUUGGGAUUCAUAUCCAUCCUGAGAUCCUCACAGGCAGCUGCUCUUGCUUCUAAAAUAUU